rnacentral:rRNA from 1 species
UACGAAGGGGCUAGCGUUGCUCGGAAUCACUGGGCGUAAAGGGUGCGUAGGCGGGUCUUUAAGUCAGGGGUGAAAUCCUGGAGCUCAACUCCAGAACUGCCUUUGAUACUGAAGAUCUUGAGUUCGGGAGAGGUGAGUGGAACUGCGAGUGUAGAGGUGAAAAUUCGUAGAUAUUCGCAAGAACACCAGUGGCGAAGGCGGCUCACUGGCCCGAUACUAACGCUGAGGCACGAAAGCGUGG